rnacentral:rRNA from 1 species
UGGGGAAUAUUGCACAAUGGGCGCAAGCCUGAUGCAGCCAUGCCGCGUGUAUGAAGAAGGCCUUCGGGUUGUAAAGUACUUUCAGCGGGGAGGAAGGGAGUAAAGUUAAUACCUUUGCUCAUUGACGUUACCCGCAGAAGAAGCAUCGGCUAACUCCGUGCCAGCAGCCGCGGUAAUACGGAGGGUGCAAGCGUUAAUCGGAAUUACUGGGCGUAAAGCGCACGCAGGCGGUUUGUUAAGUCAGAUGUGAAAUCCCCGGGCUCAACCUGGGAACUGCAUCUGAUACUGGCAAGCUUGAGUCUCGUAGAGGGGGGUAGAAUUCCAGGUGUAGCGGUGAAAUGCGUAGAGAUCUGGAGGAAUACCGGUGGCGAAGGCGGCCCCCUGGACAAAGACUGACGCUCAGGUGCGAAAGCGUGGGGAGCAAACAGG